rnacentral:rRNA from 1 species
GUAGGGGGCAAGCGUUAUCCGGAUUUACUGGGUGUAAAGGGAGCGUAGACGGCAAUGCAAGUCCGGAGUGAAAGCCCGGGGCUCAACCCUGGGACUGCUCUGGAAACUGUAAAGCUGGAGUGCGGGAGGGGCAGGCGGAAUUCCUGGUGUAGCGGUGAAAUGCGUAGAUAUCAGGAGGAACGCCGGCGGCGAAGGCGGCCUGCUGGACCGUAACUGACGUUGAGGCUCGAAAGCGUGGGGAGCAAA